AUACUGGCCUCAUUCAGUACUGAGCAGUAAUAGCUGAUUUCUGUAAGUGCCAUGAAGACACUUACUGCCUUUCUCCUUGUGGGACUUCUGGCCCUCUGGGUAGAAUUACCCUCCACAACUUGUAGGAAGAACCCAACAGGCAAACCUGGAAUGUGCCCAACAGACCGUUGCUUUUGCUUUCGUGUUCAACCUAAUAAGUGCACAAAUGAUUUUGGUUGCAAAGAAAAGAAAAAAUGCUGUUAUUCUUGUUGUGUGAGGCAAUGUGUGGAUCCAAAAUAAGGAUGUUUCCUCUUCAUCACAAGAUGGCUGAAGACAAGAUGAAGAACAGGGUUGUGUUGUGGCUCAUCAUGUUUAUGAAGACUGAAAGAGAAAUGAAAAGUUCCAAGCAGGAUGGGGAUUCUUUGUGUAUUCGUUAUCCUUUUCCCGCCUAAUGAUACCUUAUAAACAUUCCCCCAAAA